rnacentral:rRNA from 1 species
ACAUGCCUACAACAUAGCGUUAAUGCACCAGAUCCCAUUAGAACUCCGUAGUUAAGUGCACUCAGGCUAGAGUAGUACUGGGAUGGAUGACCACCUGAGAAGUCCCAGUGUUACAUGCC